UACAAAAAAACAAGACAACUCGAUUUGUGUUUGACUUUUGCCACUAGUUGCAGCCGCUUGCACCAUUCUACUGAUCUCUUUACUCCCUCUGUACCGUGAGAGAGAGGGCUCGGAGAGGGAAAGAAUGGAAGAGGAGCAAUUGGACUAUGUUCUGGUACCUUUGGGUCUAUUGUUGUUCGGAUUAUACCAUCUCUGGCUUAUCUUUACCAUCCUCCACUUUCCCAAACGAACCGUCAUAGGCAUCAAUGCUGAGUCUCGCCACCAUUGGGUCUUCUCCGUGAUGACUGAUCCCGUAAAGAAUGGUGUUUUGGCAGUUCAAACAAUUCGCAACAACAUAAUGGCAUCUACAUUGUUAGCGACAACAGCAAUUACUCUCAGUUCACUAAUCAGUGUUUAUGUCAGUAGCACAUCAAAGUCUAGCAACACACCUUCACAACUGGUUUAUGGCAAUAAGACUUCUAUGAUCUCUUCAAUCAAGUACUUUUGUAUCUUGCUUUGUUUCCUUCUUGCAUUCCUUUUCAAUGUGCAGUCUAUUAGAUACUAUGCCCAUGUUAGCUUCUUGGCUACCACACCUGCUUGGAGUGAGAAUAAAGAGUCUAUUGAGUACAUCGUGAGAAAUUUGAAUCGCGGAAGCCUCUUUUGGUCCCUUGGAUUGCGAGCAUUCUACCUUUCAUUCCCACUGUUCCUCUGGAUAUUUGGUCCCAUACCCAUGUUUGCUUGUUGUUGCUUACUGUCACUUCUUCUAUAUUUCUUGGACACCACUACCAGUUUUACACGGAAUCUUCACUGUCAUUCACUUAAACAAGUUACCAAGAGCAACGACAUGGUUUCAGCUGUUUAAUCAUUGGCUAAAAGGAAUGCAUCUUACAAUAUAUCGACACGGACAAAAAGUAUUUUGGAACUAUGAACUAUGGAAUGCUAUGCUUUUUUUAGUGCAUGGAUGCAAUUAAAGUACAAGCUCAGAAAAUUUCAUGUGUAGUAAUGCAGAAGAAACAUUGUAGGCGAAAUUGAAGUGUGUUCGAGGUCAUCUCUUCAAGUAUGCAUAGCCAUUGAUGAACUCUAGAGUGCCUUAAGUUUUAUGCUUUGCUGAAAAUGCUAUCUUGAUGUUCUGCUUUGUAUUUUGUUUCUAGUCCUUUCUCAAAAUCUCAAUCACAUUAUUCAGCAGCUUCUAUUCUGAAGGUUCAUUCAUUACAACAGAUGUGAGAGCGCCAUGUUAUUCUUGCCCAUGUUAUAGCGCCAUCUAGCAAACGACCUAUAUGCUUUAUUUCAUGUCAUGCAUUGCUUUUCGUCUCCUCUGGACCAUAAAUAAUUUGAGAAAAGAUAUUUGUAAC